rnacentral:tRNA from 1 species
UUUUUGAUGGCCGAGUAGGCCAUAGAUUUUUAAUCUAUUCACGGGAUUAACCCUCUUGCGA